rnacentral:rRNA from 1 species
AGCGAACGCUGGCGGCAGGCCUAACACAUGCAAGUCGAACGAACUCUUCGGAGUUAGUGGCGGACGGGUGAGUAACACGUGGGAACGUGCCUUUAGGUUCGGAAUAACUCAGGGACACUUGUGCUAAUACCGAAUGUGCCCUUCGGGGGAAAGAUUUAUCGCCUUUAGAGCGGCCCGCGUCUGAUUAGCUAGUUGGUGAGGUAACGGCUCACCAAGGCGACGAUCAGUAGCUGGUCUGUGAGGAUGACCAGCCACACUGGGACUGAGACACGGCUCAGACUCCUACGGGAGGCAGCAGUGGGGAAUCUUGCGCAAUGGGCGAAAGCCUGACGCAGCCAUGCCGCGUGAAUGAUGAAGGUCUUAGGAUUGUAAAAUUCUUUCACCGGGGACGAUAAUGACGGUACCCGGAGAAGAAGCCCCGGCUAACUUCGUGCCAGCAGCCGCAGUAAUAC